AGAACCGUCUCACAGGGAUGUCUGCGGCAUUGCAUGGUCCGCUCUCGCUGCCGUUCCGGGAGGGGCGCCCCCAGGUGGAUGCAGAUAAUAGGUUCCUGUCCCAGGGGGCCCUAAAGGGCUGUGUGCUGACACUAAGGUGACCGACGCCGGCUUCUUGCAGCAGAUGGCGCAGGAGCCCAGAUCGGACACCCGAAGCCGGGUCUGGGGAUUUUGCUCCCCCGGUGGGGCGCCUCAUUCUGCAACUCCGAACGCAGAAACUGCCGGCGGGGCCCACCCCAGAGAGGGCUCUUCCGGGCAGCUGCUCCCAGGCCCUUCCCCAGGAAGGACACGGAGGUGCCCCCCGGCCGCCCUCUGGGGACACAAUUCCAACAGGUCUGCUCGAAGUCGGGGGGCGGCGGGGGGAGCCCAGGAUGGGGCUGGGACGCUGCUUCCUGCUUCGGGGCAGGUGGAUGCGACAUCUCUUGUUUCCCAAAAGGCAACAGAAGGUAACAAAGG